CGCUGGCUGGCGCCCGGCGUGUCCGCGGCGCCCGAGGCGCUGCUGGCGCGGUUCCGCGAGCGGCCGGCGCCGUUCUGGGCGGCGUUCGACGACC
rnacentral:tRNA from 1 species